AUGAGACUGAAGCUCAAAGAAGUUAAGUAACUUGCCAAAAGAUUCCCAGCUAAAAGUGUGAGAGCAAGGACUCAGACCAAGGCCGUCUUCUGGUUUCAGAGCCUGAAGUCUUAACCAGAUGAGGAUAAAACUUCCAGCAUGCUUAUGUGUGUGCUUAUCUGUGAAUGACCCCAGAGCUGACUGCAGAUGUUGAGAGAAGAGGUAACUUUGACCAAAUGCAGUCAUGACCUCAGGUGUGGGCGAGUCCUUGCUCCCUACCUGGACUUGGCUAGGCCUGCAGGUCAUACAGGAAGAACAGUCCCUCUGAAGGUGACCAUAAUCUACAGGGCAGGGUGUGGAAAGUGACAGAGGUGAAUAUAUUAAAUGACUUGGUCAAGUCCCCACAGCUGGUCACUGGCAGAAGCAGCAGAAACAAAUAGGCAGCAUUAUCUAUUCUCCCAGUCAACAAACAGCCUUUGAGCCCAGCUAUGCCUGGCACUGUCUCUGCAGUCAAGCCCCAGACUUACAAUACUGAUUUUAAGUCCAACCAUAUAAUUAGCUGGACUACAUUUUAAAUAUAUGUACUAGGGAGACAGGAGGGACCCUAUAGUCUUUUAUAUGCUCAGGUGUUCAGUGCUUCUGCAGGAGGCAGAGAGCUAAAAGAAGAGAGAAGUUUGAUGGGAGAAAAUAAUUUCCUGGUUGCAAAAGAUAAGAAAAGGAAUUCACUCAGGAACUCAAGACCACAAGGUAGACACACACAGUCUCUGCUCAAGUUUUGCCAAGCUCUGUACAGAAGAAACCAUGUUCUUUGUUUUUUCAAGUUCCUUUUAAGUGGGAUAAAAGAGUGGAUUGGGGCCAGGCGCGGUGGCUAAUGCCUGUAAUCCCAGCACUUUGGGAGGCCUAGGUGGGCAGAUCAUGAGGUCAGGAGAUCGAGACCAUCCUGGCUAACAUGGUGAAACCCCAUCUCUACUAAAAAUACACACGAAAAAUUAGCUGGGCAUGGUGGUGGGCGCCUGUGGUCCCAGCUACUUGGGAGGCUGAGGCAAGAGAAUGGCAUGAACCCAGGAGGCGGAGCUUGCAGUGAGCCGAGAUCUCACCACUGCACUACAUCCUGGGUGACAGAGCGAGAUUCCAUCUCAAAAAAAAAAAAAAAAAAAGAGUGGAUUGGCCCCACCUUUCAUUGUACACAAAAGUAAGUUAAAAAUACAAUUCUGAAAAGCUUUACUUAGAAUUUUUUCAGAAGAAAAUAUAGGAGAAUUUUUUUUACCUCAGCCCGUGGAUGAAUUUUGUAAACUUGGAAAAAUGAUUGGAACAAUAAGCACAGAAUAUAAAGGAAGACAAUACAUUUGACCACACUGGAAUUAAAAACUUUGGUUUACUAAAAGAGUUUGUUUGUUUUGAGACGGAGUCUUGUUCUGUCGCCCAGGCUGGAGUACAGUGGCGUGAUCUCGGCUCCACUGCAAUCUCAGCCUCCUGGGUUCAAGCAAUUCUUCUGCCUCAGCCUCUAGAGUAGCUGAGAUUACAGACACCUGCCACUGCACCUGGCUAAUUUUUGUAUUUUUAGUGGAGACAGGGUUUCACCAUGUUGCCCAGGCUGGUCUCGAACUCCUGACCUUGUGAUCCGCCCACUUCAGCCUCCCAGAGUGCUGGGAUUAGGCGUGAGCCACCGCCCGGCCAAAGAUAUUGUUUAAAGCUUGAAAAGACAAGCCAUACACUGGAAGAAGAUAUCUCCAAUCCAUGUAUUUACAAAGAACUAGUUUCCAGACUAUAUAAGAACUUCUAUAAUCAAUGAGGAAAAAACACAACUCCACAGAAAAAUGGGCAAAAGAUGAGAAUAGGCAGUUGACACAAGUGAAAAUCCAAAUGGCCAAUAAACAUCAGUAGAUGCCCACCCUCAUCAGUAACCAGGGAAAUGCAAAUGAAACCACAAUCAGAUGCCAUGCCACACUUUUCAAAUGGAAAAAAAUGAUUGAGUUUCACUGUCCCAGUAGCAGGAUCACUGCCAGUGAGGGCGUAAACUGGUUCAGCUACUUUGGUGUGUGCUUUUAUGUUUCACAUCUUUUAAUGGAGAGAAGACAAUGCAUAGAGUGCACAAAUCUUUUUUUUUUUUUUUUUUUUUUUUGAGAUGGAAUCUCGCUCUGUCGCCCAGGCUGGAGUGCAGUGGCGAGAUCUCGGCUCACUGCAAGCUCUGCCUCCUGGGUUCAUGCCAUUCUCCUGCUUCAGCCUCCUGAGUAGCUGGGACUACAGGCGCCCGCCACCACGCCCAGCUAAUUUUUUGUAUUUUUAGUGGAGACGGGGUUUCACCCUGUUAGCCAGGAUGGUCUCGAUCUCUUGACCUUGUGAUCCGCCUGCCUUGGCCUCCCAAAGUGCUGGGAUUACAGGCGUGAGCCACCACACCCAGCCAGAGUGCACAAAUCUUAAGUGUAUACCGAGGUAAUCACCACCCGCAUGGAGACAUAGAAUCUCUCCAGAACCCCCAUUGGGUUCCUUCCUGCCCCUUCCCACUUUAUACCUCCCUCCUCAAGGUACCGUUAUCCUUACUGCUUUUCAUUACAGAUUCGUUUAACCUGUUCUAGACUUCAUAUAAUUUUUGGUUUCUUUCAUUCAACAUACCUGUUAGAUCCAUCCAUGUUGUUGGCAUGUAGGAGCAGUUUGUUCCUUUGUAUUGCUAAGUAGUAUUCCAUUGUAUAGAUACACCAUAAUUUAUUUCUGCAUUCUCCUAUUGAUUGGAAUUUGAAUUCUUUCCACUUCGGGGACUAUUAUGAAUAAAGCUGCUAGAAAUAUUACUGAUGUGAAGUAUAGCAACUCUGGUGAGCAAUUUGGAUUGUCUAGUUAACUUGAAAAAGUGUAUACUCUAUGACCCAGCAAUUCCAUUCCUAGGAAAAUAUGUUAGAGAAACUUUCAUAUGUGUUAAGAAACAUGAGUAAAAAUGUCUGUAGCUGUUUUGUUAAUAGUUACAAAAACAAAACAAAAUAAAAUAAGCUUAAAUGCCCACCAA
rnacentral:antisense_RNA from 1 species